ACCGCGAUGGCUCAUUAAAUCAGUUAUGGUUCCUUAGAUGGUGCACAGUUACUUGGAUAACUGUGGUAAUUCUAGAGCUAAUACAUGCAACUCGGUCCCGACCGGCGACGGAAGGGACGCUUUUAUUAGAUCAAAACCAAUCGGUCUUCGGGCCGUUUGCCUUGGUGACUCUGAAUAAAUUGUGGCAGAUCGCACGGCCUCCGAGCCGGCGACGCAUCUUUCAAAUGUCUGCCUUAUCAACUGUCGAUGGUAGGUUCUGCGCCUACCAUGGUUGUAACGGGUAACGGGGAAUCAGGGUUCGAUUCCGGAGAGGGAGCCUGAGAAACGGCUACCACAUCCAAGGAAGGCAGCAGGCGCGCAAAUUACCCACUCCCGGCACGGGGAGGUAGUGACGAAAAAUAACGAUACGGGACUCAUCCGAGGCCCCGUAAUCGGAAUGAGUACACUUUAAAUCCUUUAACGAGUAUCCAUUGGAGGGCAAGUCUGGUGCCAGCAGCCGCGGUAAUUCCAGCUCCAAUAGCGUAUAUUAAAGUUGUUGCGGUUAAAAAGCUCGUAGUCGGACUUGUGUCCCACGCUGCCGGUUCACCGCCCGUCGGUGUCUAACUGGCAUGCACGUGCGGACGUCCUGCCGGUGGCCCGAACCGGCGCGGGUCUCGCACCCGUCGUCCGGGGAAGGCCUAUCAUACCCGUCGCGGUGCUCUUAACCGAGUGUCUCGAUGGGCCGGCACGUUUACUUUGAACAAAUUAGAGUGCUUAAAGCAGGCAGCAUCCGCCUGAAUACCGAGUGCAUGGAAUAAUGGAAUAGGACCUCGGUUCUAUUUUGUUGGUUUUCGGAAUCCCCGAGGUAAUGAUCAAUAGGACAGACGGGGGCAUUCGUAUUGCGACGUUGAAGGUGAAAUUCUUGGAUCGUCACAGGACGGACCGAAGCGAAAGCAUUUGCCAAGAAUGUUUUCUCUGAUCAAGAACGAAAGUUAGAGGUUCCAAGGCUAUCACAUACCGCCCUAGUUCUAACCAUACACAAUGCCAGCCAGCAAUCCGCCAAAUUUCCUCCCAUGACUCCGCGGGCGGCUUCCGGGAAACCAAGCCUUUUGGGUUCCGGGGGAAGUAUGGUUGCAAAGCUGA
rnacentral:rRNA from 1 species